rnacentral:rRNA from 1 species
UGAUCCUGGCUCAGGACGAACGCUGGCGGCGUGCUUAACACAUGCAAGUCGAACGGUGAUGUCAGAGCUUGCUCUGGCGGAUCAGUGGCGAACGGGUGAGUAAACACGUGAGUAACCUGCCCCCGACUCUGGGAUAACUGCUAGAAAUGGUAGCUAAUACCGGAUAUGACGACUGGCCGCAUGGUCUGGUCGUGGAAAGAACUUCGGUUGGGGAUGGACUCGCGGCCUAUCAGGUUGUUGGUGAGGUAAUGGCUCACCAAGCCUACGACGGGUAGCCGGCCUGAGAGGGUGACCGGCCACACUGGGACUGAGACACGGCCCAGACUCCUACGGGAGGCAGCAGUGGGGAAUAUUGCACAAUGGGCGCAAGCCUGAUGCAGCAACGCCGCGUGAGGGAUGACGGCCUUMGGGUUGUAAACCUCUUUUAGUAGGGAAGAAGCGAAAGUGACGGUACCUGCAGAAAAAGCNCGNCUAAAAGGG